GAUGAACGCUGGCGGCGUGCUUAACACAUGCAAGUCGAACGAUGAAAGCGGGAGCUUGCUCCUGCUGGAUUAGUGGCGAACGGGUGAGUAACACGUGAGUAACCUGCCCUUGACUCUGGGAUAAGCGUUGGAAACGACGUCUAAUACCGGAUACGAGCUUCAGUCGCAUGACUAGGAGCUGGAAAGAAUUUCGGUCAAGGAUGGACUCGCGGCCUAUCAGCUAGUUGGUGAGGUAAUGGCUCACCAAGGCGACGACGGGUAGCCGGCCUGAGAGGGUGACCGGCCACACUGGGACUGAGACACGGCCCAGACUCCUACGGGAGGCAGCAGUGGGGAAUAUUGCACAAUGGGCGAAAGCCUGAUGCAGCAACGCCGCGUGAGGGACGACGGCCUUCGGGUUGUAAACCUCUUUUAGUAGGGAAGAAGCGAAAGUGACGGUACCUGCAGAAAAAGCACCGGCUAACUACGUGCCAGCCGCCGCGGUAAUAC
rnacentral:rRNA from 1 species